GCGGGAAGAGUAGCCGAUGUGCAACCGUAGACGCCGCGAGACUAUAGCGACACCGCUGGUUCCUCAUCGAACGCGGCCAUGUGCGGGGCAACCAAUACAAAGAAACGAGAGCAGAACUACAUAGAGAUUGGGAGAUGAAGCGGAUUCACCGUCAUAUGACGGGGUUCAAAUGGUGCACUGUAGCUGUGUACAGUAGCGACUGAAGAGGGCUCAAAUCUUACACAUGUACUCUGGGUUAGCAGAACAUUUAUUCUCCAGAUGCAGUUAAAGGCUUCAAGGACCCCAACAGGCAACUCCUGGGCACUUUCAGCAUCCUGCCAGGGGAGUCGUGCUCAUCAUGAUGGAAGGGGCUUCUCUUCUGGGCUGUGGCCCACUUCAUCAAGUGGAAAAAAGGCACCAAAACAGGACUAUGAAAGAUUUGGGGGACAAGUGGUGUUUCCUUUGAUCAAUCUGGUGUAAGGUCAAGAUGCGUAAAGAUAAAGCAGGAUCCGGCAAGGAAAGAGCGGACUUUGAAAGAAGGUGUAGUAGUCAAGAAGAGAAGAGAAGGACCAGGCUGCCCAUAUACUACUUCCCUGCCCUGAGGAAAAUCCCAUUAUCCACUUCAAACUGAAAUUUGACACCAUUGAAUAGCACUAGUUCAGAAAUAAGAAUAGUCUAUAUAUUAACUUUGGUAUUUCAUGAGGUAAUGAUGAGAGGCUGGCAUUUCAGGAGGACCUCCCCACUUCUGCAGCCAGAACCAGGAGAGUCCCACCCCACCCCCUUCUGCAGCCAGACCAACUUCAGUCCUGACCUCCUUCUGCAGCCAGCCCCUGGACCGUCCCGCACCCCCCUUCUGCAGCCGGCCCCGGGACAGUCCCGCACCCCCCUUCUGCAGCCGGCCCCAGGACAGUCCCGCACCCCCCUUCUGCAGCCGGCCCCGGGACAGUCCCGCACCCCCCUUCUGCAGCCGGCCCCGGGACAGUCCCGCACCCCCCUUCUGCAGCCGGCCCCGGGACAGUCCCGCACCCCCCUUCUGCAGCCGGCCCCGGGACAGUCCCGCACCCCCCUUCUGCAGCCGGCCCCGGGACAGUCCCGCACCCCCCUUCUGCAGCCGGCCCCGGGACAGUCCCGCACCCCCCUUCUGCAGCCGGCCCCGGGACAGUCCCGCACCCCCCUUCUGCAGCCGGCCCCGGGACAGUCCCGCACCCCCCUUCUGCAGCCGGCCCCGGGACUGUCCCGCACCCCCCUUCUGCAGCCGGCCCCGGGACUGUCCCGCACCCCCCUUCUGCAGCCGGCCCCGGGACUGUCCCGCACCCCCCUUCUGCAGCCGGCCCCGGGACUGUCCCGCACCCCCCUUCUGCAGCCGGCCCCGGGACUGUCCCGCACCCCCCCUUCUGCAGCCAGCCCCAGGACAGUGCAACACCCCCACUUCUGCACACAUACCCAGCUCUGGGCCAGUCCUGCCUCCUUCCUGCAACUGGCCACAGUUUAGUCCUGCCCCCCGCCCUUGAUUUCCCUCAGGGUAGGGAUUAAAUGGCUCGCCAAGAAACGAGGAGAACUCCUGUAGAAGUAACUACAGCCAGUGAAUGCAAGGGAAAUGCAGAAUCCCAGGAGGAUGGAGCAGCUCUAGAUGGAGCAUCCCAAGAGUGGAAAAUGCUGUUGAGAUCAACGAUGUUUUACCCAAGGACUUGCCUCACGCCUGAACCAUGGUUAAACAAAGGAGCACUUCCCGGAAUCCCACUUGGCAUUGUUAUUGAGGUAAGUGCAGAGGGCGACCUCAGCCCGGUCAGUACACAUCAACACUGACAAAUCUCCCCUCGUGGGUGAAGGGAAUUGUGGGCAGGAAGAGGUUGAGGAGAUCAAGCCAGAUUCCCAUUCCUUUUCUGGCUAAGUUCCCCAAAGCCUCAAGUCUAUUCAAGGUGUUGGGAGCAGAUCAAAGGAUCCUUCUGUGUGUAAGGGAGGAUACUUCUCCAUUCAGAGGAGUUUUGCCUUCACCUCUGAGGCAAAAACCACCCCCUUAACAGGGAGGCAUGGUUGCACCACAAUUCUUCACCCCAGGAGUGGAAGCCACACCUUAGUUUACAGAACUCCUUUCAAACUGGUUUCUAUAGUUGUGGCCUGAGUUUGCAACUCUUCUCUCUGCCCCAUCUCUUGAUUCGGAGCCUGGGUGCAAGACCACAUCUUCUCCUAGCACUGCAUGCAGUGUGGGGUGCUGGUUUUUUGCAUCCAUUCCCGACAGGGUAUAAGAAACAAGCCUGGGAAACACAGUGGACCAUGCUGUGACGGCAUCCUUGGUAGGGAUGUUCCUGAAUCGGCACAUCUGAACCAGGCGAAUCAUUUUGGUACCUCUCUAAUGAGGCACCAGAAUGAUGUGAGCACAUCCCUUAUCCUCGGUCCAUAGGGCCAUCCAGAGGGAUGAGGACAUGCUAAUGAAAGCAGUCCCCAACUUCUGCUGGCUUUCUGCAGGAACACCUUGGCAUCCGCUCACCCCACCGGGUAACAGUGUGGGAUUAGCUGGCCGCCUUUUGGGGCCGAGUAGGAAUUUUCCCCAUCCACCCAGAUUGGCCUGGAGGUGGCUGGUUUUUUGCCUACUCUACACUGUUGCACUGGUAGGGGUUUUUGAUCUGGCCCAUGUUAGGAGCGGUGCCUUUAAAUAGAGUAGCCCCUUGGUCACCAGCACCAUGAUGGCAGGUCAGAGGAGGGGAUACGGUGCUGCACCCUAGGGGUGGCAGCUCCACUGUGGCUUGGCUACAUUGCAGCUCUCUGUUGAAACUAGGUUAAUAAAGUUAUCGCCCUAGUUUUAAUCCA